GGGUGAGUAACGCGUGGGCAACCUGCCUCAUACUGGGGGAUAGCAGUUGGAAACGACUGAUAAUACCGCAUAAGCGCACAGCAUCGCAUGAUGCAGUGUGAAAAACUCCGGUGGUAUGAGAUGGGCCCGCGUCAGAUUAGCUAGUUGGUAAGGUAACGGCUUACCAAGGCGACGAUCUGUAGCCGGACUGAGAGGUCGGACGGCCACAUUGGGACUGAGACACGGCCCAAACUCCUACGGGAGGCAGCAGUGGGGGAUAUUGCACAAUGGAGGAAACUCUGAUGCAGCGACGCCGCGUGAGUGAAGAAGUAUUUCGGUAUGUAAAGCUCUAUCAGCAGGGAAGAAAGGCUCGUAAGAGAGAUGACGGUACCUGACUAAGAAGCCCCGGCUAACUACGUGCCAGCAGCCGCGGUAAUACGUAGGGGGCAAGCGUUAUCCGGAUUUACUGGGCGUAAAGGGCGUGUAGGCGGAGAUCUAAGCAGGGUGUGAAAACUAUGGGCUCAACCCGUAGCCUGCAUUCUGAACUGGAUCCCUUGAGGGCAGGAGAGGAAAGUGGAAUUCCUAGUGUAGCGGUGAAAUGCGUAGAUAUUAGGAGGAACACCAGUGGCGAAGGCGACUUU
rnacentral:rRNA from 1 species